rnacentral:rRNA from 1 species
CCUACGGGAGGCAGCAGUGGGGAAUAUUGCACAAUGGGGGAAACCCUGAUGCAGCGACGCCGCGUGAGUGAAGAAGUAAUUCGUUACGUAAAGCUCUAUCAGCAGGGAAGAAAAUGACGGUACCUGACUAAGAAGCCCCGGCUAACUACGUGCCAGCAGCCGCGGUAAUACGUAGGGGGCAAGCGUUAUCCGGAUUUACUGGGUGUAAAGGGAGCGUAGACGGUUAUGCAAGUCUGGAGUGAAAUGCCGGAGCUUAACUGCGGAACUGCUUUGGAAACUGGCGAACUAGAGUGCGGGAGGGGUAAGCGGAAUUCCUGGUGUAGCGGUGAAAUGCGUAGAUAUUAGGAGGAACACCGGUGGCGAAGGCGGCUUGCUGGACCGUAACUGACGUUGAGGCUCGAAAGCGUGGGGAGCAAACAGGAUUAGAUACCCGUGUAGUC